UUACAGGAGUAUAGUUCAUUGAACUACUUGGAUAUUGUACUGGAUGCGUUUUUGACUCUUAAUGCGACUCAGGAGAAUAUUGGGAUGCAGCCAUCCAAUGAUAAGGUGAAGCUAACGGUUUUUCGUGAAAGAAAGCCUGCUUUGCUCAGUCGAGUCCCAUGGUGGGUCAUUCUACUCAGCAUAUUGACUGCACUGUUUUUACUGGGUCUUCUCUUCUACCUAUUAAAGAAGUUUGAAUGCUUGAAUUGUGGAAUGUGCACUAAAGAAAAGAAGGUAUACUAAGACUAAGGGCAGGAACAUAUGACAGCCAGAGUUGUGUCUUCUCAGGAAGAUGGACAAAACAGUUUUCUGAUUAUGUGGAGAUUUUAUUUUUUCUUGCACAGGUCAAAAAAGUUUUUCCCCCCCCUUUUUUAUGUUGUCUGUAAAUACAAUUUUGAGAAUUAAUAACUAAAUAAUCUACAAACAAAAAGGUGUAAACAUGUAUCACUAAGGACAAAUUAUGCUACUCUGCUUACAUCACAUCUGAUUAACAUUGUCAUCUUACAAUGUUAAUCAUGCAUCUCAGUAUUUAAUGCAGUGAAAGAACAAAUUACAUUUACAUAGUAAUGUGCACUGUCUGUAAUGUUGGUGGUAGAGUAAAAUUUCCUUUUGCGAUGUGAUGUAUUUGGCUGGAAUGACUCGAGUGUCACGGAGGAGGCGGAGGUGUGCGCAGGAACAUCUUGAGGGCAGGUGUAAAG